rnacentral:rRNA from 1 species
GGGGGUAGAGCACUGUUUCGGCAAGGGGGUCAUCCCGACUUACCAACCCGAUGCAAACUGCGAAUACCGGAGAAUGUUAUCACGGGAGACACACGGCGGGUGCUAACGUCCGUCGUGAAGAGGGAAACAACCCAGACCGCCAGCUAAGGUCCCAAAGUCAUGGUUAAGUGGGAAACGAUGUGGGAAGGCCCAGACAGCCAGGAUGUUGGCUUAGAAGCAGCCAUCAUUUAAAGAAAGCGUAAUAGCUCACUGGUCGAGUCGGCCUGCGCGGAAGAUGUAACGGGGCUAAACCAUG